UUUUAUUUGAGAGUUUGAUCCUGGCUCAGGAUGAACGCUGGCGGCGUGCCUAACACAUGCAAGUUGAGCGAUUUACUUCGGUAAAGAGCGGCGGACGGGUGAGUAACGCGUGGGUAACCUACCCUGUACACACGGAUAACAUACCGAAAGGUAUGCUAAUACGGGAUAAUAUAUUUGAGAGGCAUCUCUUGAAUAUCAAAGGUGAGCCAGUACAGGAUGGACCCGCGUCUGAUUAGCUAGUUGGUAAGGUAACGGCUUACCAAGGCGACGAUCAGUAGCCGACCUGCGAGGGUGAUCGGCCACAUUGGAACUGAGACACGGUCCAAACUCCUACGGGAGGCAGCAGUGGGGAAUAUUGCACAAUGGGCGAAAGCCUGAUGCAGCAACGCCGCG
rnacentral:rRNA from 1 species